rnacentral:snoRNA from 1 species
UCCCCAAGCCCCCAAUGUAGCCCCCUCGUGAGCUCGCGGUAUUUUCCUUAAAUGAUUGAGCUCCGCUUGGCAUAGCUGACCUGGAGCCUGAGAGGAUUAUGAAAACGUGUGGGAUGUGGGGUAAGGUGGGGCUGGGGA